CACGUAGGGGGCGAGCGUUGUCCGGAUUUAUUGGGCGUAAAGAGCUCGUAGGCGGCUCAGUAAGUCGGGUGUGAAAACUCCAGGCUCAACCUGGAGACGCCACCCGAUACUGCUGUGGCUAGAGUCCGGUAGGGGAGCAUGGAAUUCCUGGUGCAGCGGUGAAAUGCGCAGAUAUCAGGAGGAACACCAGUGGCGAAGGCGGUGCUCUGGGCCGGAACUGACGCUGAGGAGCGAAAGCGUGGGGAGCAAACAGG
rnacentral:rRNA from 1 species